CCCCAAACAGUGGUUACAACCUGAUCUGAAGGCACUUAGGAGUUGCUGGGAGGUUAUUCCCUUGGGAAAACUGUUGAUUGGAAAAAAUCACUGAAGAUGUAUGAACAUUCUAGAAGACAUACUGCUUUAGAGCAAUAGAAGACCAGGGUGAUGUGAAAAAGAGACACUUCUCAAGCCUGGAGAUGAGACCUGGGUUACAGGAGCUAGUGACAGAGUUAUGUAAAACCAAGCUUCACAGAAAAAGCUUGUACAGAAAAGCUGACUCAGUAUCUCUGAGUUAAGUAUAUCUUCACAGAGGAGGAGCUGCAAACUGAGGCCCUGCCCAGACACUCCAUCCACCUGGUAUAGAUUGCCUGCUUCCAAGUUAUCAGCCUGGCAAACUCAUGGUACCAAGCAAGGACAAAUGUCAUAGUCCUCCUGGGAAAUGGGCAACAGUGAAUUUUGCUAAUAAGGUGGAAAGUAAUUUUUAAGUGAUAUUUGGAUUAAAAUUGUGAUUUUUAAAACAUUA